AUGUCGGUGAUGAGGUUAUCCGACAUUGGCUGCUUGCUUCUUGAAGCACACCGGUGUUCCCAAGCACUCAUCAAGUCUCUGAGAUUUUCUCUAAACAUGUCGUUUCCAAUAUUUCACGCUGCUGGGCGUGUGUUGAUGGACGAGUGCAGGAUGGCGGCGUUGUUUGGCGUCGUGGUGGCGUCGACGGCAGCUAGACCUGGCAAGGUUAAUGCGUCAGUAGCUCUGAAGAUGGAUUGGUGGCGGUUGGUGGCGGCGGCCUCUGAGUGUGCGCCGGACCGAUGGGUGCCCCAUACCCGGCAGGUGGCUUGGUUGGGGUCUCAGGUCUUAGAUGUUAGGUUUGGCUGCGAGGUUUGUUUGGUAUUAGGCCUAGAUCAGCAUCCCUUCAUCAACUGGAUAGGAGUAGCGACAGAUGUUGUCUAG
rnacentral:rRNA from 1 species